rnacentral:rRNA from 1 species
CCCUUAGAUGUUCUGGGCCGCACGCGCGCUACACUGACGGAUUCAACGAGCUUACAACCUUGGCCGAAAGGUCUGGGUAAUCUCCAAAAUCCGUCGUGAUGGGGAUAGAUUAUUGCAAUUAUUAAUCUUCAACGAGGAAUGCCUAGUAAACGCAAGUCAUCAGCUUGCAUUGAUUACGUCCCUGCCCUUUGUACACACCGCCCGUCGCUCCUACCGAUUGAAUGAUCCGAUGAAUAUCAUGGAUUGAGGAUGCAAGUAGGUUAGCCUAUCUUCAUCUUCGAGAAGUGAAGUAAAUCUUAUCAUUUAGAGGAAGGAGAAGUCGUAACA